AGGUUCCUUGGAUGAGUGGCUUAGUCAGCGGUCUGCAAAACCGUGUACGGCGGUUCGAAUCCGCCAGGAACCUCCAA
rnacentral:tRNA from 1 species